rnacentral:lncRNA from 1 species
AGGACUCACGUAGGGGACACUAAGCCAAUGAUGCCCUUGAAAAACUCUACCAAGUAAGGCAAUGGUUGUCCCACCAUUCAACAAAGUUACGGACUUAAGUAAAAAUGACAAGUCAUGGCCUGACCAAUAACCAUCUUAUCUCGAUAAACAACUAUAUAUACAUGCCUUCGCUCAAUGCAUGAGGUAUGCAACAUUUUCUUUCAUAAACCUCCUUACUAACUCAAUGCUUCAUAGGGUAAAGCUUGAGAGCUCCUCCCAGAUUACUGUAAAGCCUAUUCUUUUUUUUUUCUUAGUGAAUUUCAAGCAACCAAUUACUGUAAAGCCUAUUCUUUUUUUUUUCUUAGUGAAUUUCAAGCAACCAAUUACUGUAAAGCCUAUUCUUUUUUUUUUCUUAGUGAAUUUCAAGCAACCCAUGACGAGUAGCGGAUUUAGGGGCUUUAGUGGGGUGUAUGCACCCCAUUUAACAUGUAAUUUUACUUAAAUUUUAUAUAGAAAAUUUAUAAUUAUAAUUGGUUUUCAGUUAAGGUACCCCAUGAUAAUAAUAAUUUUAUACUAUGCACC